CCCCGGUUAGCUAAUAGGCAAAGCAGCCGAUUUAUAGUCGGAUAUAUAUGGGUUCGAAUCCCGUACCGGGGAC
rnacentral:tRNA from 2 species